UACACUUUAGCUUUUGCAGUUGUUUUGGCAUUGUGAACAUACAGUUUCUACCAUACAAUGUGUGGCCCAGUGACAUCUGGAGGUAUAUUUACUCCACCUCUGAUAAAACAUUGUGAAACACUGUCUUCCCCACCCAAAGCAAAAUGUGGCAGCAGAUUGCACAAGAAGUGGCCUUACUGUAAGCUAAAGUUGCUGGUGUUUGCUAAGCAAUUUUAAGCAUGCUAAGCUUUCUAGCCUCUUUACAGUCUAAGAAAGUUUAUCUCCUCUUCUCUCUUGAGUAUUCUCCUUCCAGAGAAAAGUAAGCCUGCUCCAAGAUACUUCAGAAGCCUUUCUAGCAUGAUGACAGAUACUAAUGGUUAUGAGUACAUUGGCACAGCAGAGCCCAGGACACUAGCAAGUCUAUCCUCACCAGGUCUCAGGAUGUUUUUCAGCCCUGCAGAACAUAAUGUGAGCCCUACACUUGCUUGGCCCUCCAAUAACAACAUAAUUUCACAACAAAUACAGCAUCUACUGUAUAGGCUAUGGGUUUCAGGGUUCCAUGUGCAAAUUUUGUAGGUCCAGUAUUUAUUCUGGCUCCAUCAGAGCAAAGACAAAUGCUACUGCAACCUGCAGCCCUGCGGAUUUGAUGUUCCUUCAGCACAUGCAGUAGUGUAAGUCUUAGAAAAAAUAAUGUUCUGUCAAAUGUGCUUGGUUUUCUUCUGAACUUCCUUCUGGUGCUGUGGCCUACUCAUCUUCUUCCUUUCACAUUCUGACAAUGUGUGCAUCAUGGUUAUUGAGUUGCAUUCCUGUCUGAGUUUCACUGGCACAGAAUUAAAUUUCCUUUUCCAUGUAAGUGUACUCACACCAAACCACAGGAAUUUAGCAGCUCAGAAGUCUGUGUGAAGACUUUAAGCUGGGACUAGGUAUCAACAAGAGUCCCAGGUGGGCAAAGAAUGCAAGGUGGACACAAUUUGCAGUUUGUAAGCCACAGACUUUUUUUUCCUUUCAUCUGGGCUUCAACAUACCCUGGCAUCGUCAUGUAAGAUAUGGCUGAUCAAAGAUUUCAAUGGGUAUGUAUCUCUGAUUACCCCAAACUACAAAUAGACAGAGACCAUCAGCUCAUUCACUCACGUACCUCACUGCAAUCACACUGAGGAGAGUCACCAGAGCAGAUUUUGAUGCAAGAUACCCUGGACAUUGCUAAAGUUGCACAAGUAAAGUUCUAACACUUGUCUUUGCAUUGUACUUUUG
rnacentral:lncRNA from 1 species